UGCAAGAUGAGGACAAUAUAGCAUGCAACCUCACCUUCAGAAAAGACUCCACGGACUUUGAGGCCAGAGAGUUGCUCCGGAACAGGGUGUUGGUCUCACCUACAAACAGAGGUCCCAGUGGGUAGGGGGCUGGCACAAAGCUUUUGGGGGAGGGGGAGGACAGAGGACCUUGGGGCUGGGGGAUCUAAGCUGGCCCCUCAAUAAAGGGCCUCCUCGCCACCUCCCAGCCCACUGUCCCACCUCUGCCCUUGGCUCUGUUCCUUGCCUCCCUCCUCUCUGACCCCAUCUGCCUCCUACAGGAGGAGCCCACCCACCCCCAAACACCUCCCAGUGUUCUGGGCCCAGCUCCUUCCCAGGCCUCACUGGUGCGACUCAGCUCCAGCUGGAAGAGCAGGUCCAGGAAGUCCUUGGCCAGCCCCUGCCCCAGGAAGAGCUUGAGCAGGUUCGUGGCCACGUCCUGGCGACACUCGGUGCUGGUUGUCUCCUCGAUGAGUGGGAUCAGCUGCCCUGGGCCCUGCAGGGAGAGGCACGGGGGAUCCCGAACCUUUCCCUCUGAGGACCUCAGAGCAUCCCAGGGAAAGAGGACAGUUUCCCAAGGGGUGGCUGGGGACGGGGCCCUGGACACUGGCCAGCUCCUCACAUCCCCAGACCUCAGGUUUCUGCUCUGCAGAAUGGGUUUAGAAGGACAGGCGCACAGGCCUACUGCCACUGGACCCUCCCACCCUGCCCAGGCCCCCUCACCUGCAUGCCCAGCUUGACCUCGUGGCACAGCAGGUGCACCAGUGGCUGGUAGUAGCUGGAGGGCAGCACCGUCUCGUCCCGCAGCCGCACCUCCAGCUGCAAGGAGCCCAGGUUGCCCCUGGAAUGGGCAGCCUGUGACCUCUCCACCAGGGACUCAGGCCACCCUGGACCACACCACUCCCAUGGCCUCCAGUUUUUUCCCUUGGGGCCGGCUUCCCAUCUCUCUGCUCAUGCCCUCCAUUCGGGUGCCCUGCAUAGCUCUGCCUCCCAGGCUCUGCCCGGGCUAUUUAUUUUCUGUUUUUGGAAAGCCCUUCCUGUCUCUGCACUCAAGGCACCUCUAUCUGUCUUCGAGGUCUGGCUCCCUGCCACCUCCAAGCUUGGGUAUGUGGAGCUGCCAGCCUUGAAUCGAUCAACUCCCAGAUAAUGGCACCAUCAUGGGUACACUUUACAGCAGAAGCAAAUCCCCAACCCUCAUAACAACCUAAUAGGGAAACUGAGACCCGAGCCAGUUCAGCAACUUGCCACAUUAGAUUGAGCUUCCCAGCUUCCCUGUUCUGAUAGGGAAGUUCAGAACAGAGGAGGGUGUGGACCAAGUGGGAACCUCUAAGGCUCCCACUGCCCCUGCUCAGCACAAGCCUCAUGCACAGAGCAGUGUUAAGAUGGGCCCCUGG
rnacentral:lncRNA from 1 species